AUGGCGAUGAGCCCCCAGUUUGGCAGGCCUGGGUCAGCUGCUGGCAGCACCUCCAGUGCCCGUGCUUGAGGCAGACAAGCUGGGGGGCUGCUCUGCGCUGGCCGGGGGCUCCCAGCAUGCUGCAGGUGGUGGGGCUUCACAGGUACCUCCUGCCGCCGCGGCGUCCCCCCAGGGAUGCACUUGGGAGCCUGCUGCUGCCCCAGCUCUCCGGCAGUGCUGUCGAGUGCGGUGGCGUGCCGUCUCCUCCAGCUGAGUUCAGCUGUGGACGGAGAGCCUGGGCUUGGCCUCUGCUGGCCGAGGCCCCUGGCCCAGCCAGCCCAUGCUCCUCAUUGACGUCUUUAAUGAUCCCCUGGUUUGGGUGGCUCCUUGCUCUCACCAGUGUUUUCUCGUGCUGCAGUGCUCUACUGAGAAAGUCUCUAUCCCGGGUUUUCUCUGGAAGAAAGGCAGCCAGGUUGCGCCUGUGCUCUUUGGAGGCUAGAAUGUGUUUGGGCCGAACCUGGCUGCUCAGCCCCCAUGGAAGGGACGUGCUCGCUGAGUGAGGGGGGUCGGGGCUCGGCAUCCCGGCCAGGUCCCAGGGCUGCUGGGACUGAGUCAGCCCGCAGUGCGGCUCUGUCCGGAGCAGGUCUGGGUGGGCAGUUUUAUUGUCUCACUGGCCAGAACGGCCGGUACAGAGCUGGUGCUGACGUGGUGCCAGCUGCGGGAGGACAGACAGUGUCUCAUCUGGCACAGGCUGUGAGCACGGAAUUAGCCUGCCAGAAAUCCAAGCGGACGGGUGUUGGACGAGCAGGGUGGGCCGGAUCAGCACUCUGCGUUGUUUGGCGGUGGUGCUUCUGGUCCGGGGCGAGGGGGGCGGUGGCUGGAUUCAGCCCCCCUCAGCCCCGGGCUCCUCUGUGAGGCUCUGCGGGUCCCUCGCAUCCAUCCGGCACCUCCUGCCCCUGGCGAGGCUUCCCAGGGUGCGGUGUGCCCGGUAGAGGCAGCAGAGUUGCUGCUGCUGAACUGCCAGCCUGGUGCACGUGCAUCUUCCGGCUCUUUCUCGAGCUAAUUAAAUACAUUCUUGAGAGGUUUAUGCCCUUAUCUAUCACAGGGAGACAGCAUCAGUGAGACCCGUCCCCGGGCUGGCGUGAGCUGGGAAGGGGCUGGCUGCACGAGCGCUUCUGCUACAGCAGUGCUGCCUGACAGUGACUUGGGUGCCGAGUCCCCGCGUGCAGCUGGCUGCUGCGAUCACCGUCAUGCCAGAAGCCGAGAGAGACCGAGGGGGUGCCUUUUUUUCCCAUUACCCCUCUUUAAAGCAACGCUGCGUAGCUCUGCAGUUGCUGCAUGGGAAGUGGAGCUGGGGAGGACGCAGAGGGCUCCUGUGGCUAAUGCCCCCUCUCUGAUGUCCUCUCUCCAUAGCUCAUGCUGGAGGAGCCUGGCACUGUCUGUGACCAGCCGUGGGUCUGGCUCCGUCUGUGGGCUUGGGGUGUCUUUGUGCUCCCUGUUGGGGGAAGCUCUGCAUUUCUGUCAGAAGGGGGGUUGGAGGAACCCCUGGCAAAAGCUGCCUCCCAGGCAGAGGAAACGGGAUGGAUUCGUGUUGGACUAGCAGGUGUCCUCUCUUUUUGCCUUCAGUCAGCUGCUGUCUGAAACAAGUGAAGGAUUUUCCCAGCGGGUGAUGGUUCCAGGGCAAAGCAGCCUGACCUCUGGGAGCCCCAGGGGCUCGCAUGGAUCCUCCUGAUGCUGGCUUGACUGAUGUAAAGUCGCUUAAAGCUUCCCUGUUGCCCUGCAGAGAUACCCCAUGUCCUUUGUCUCAAAGGUCGGAGCCGUGGCUGCCGUUCCCGCAGGGCUUCGGGACCAUCGACGGCCUUUCCAGGAUGCGUUUGGAGCUGCUGAAAUGCAAUCAGCCGUGGCUGCGGCGCUGCCUGGCCCCUCCUCGCCUGCCAGAACGGCUGCUGCUGCUGGUUGGUUUUUUUUUUUUUUCCCCUUCUGGAGGGAUCCUGUGGCUUCCUUCCCAGAACCUGAGACCUCAGAGCCACGGUCCAAGGCCACCAGCUUCCACCCUCUCCUGUGCUGCUGAUUCAUCACUGCUGGUUAGUUAAAAAAGGGUAAUCAGCAAAUUACUGAAAUAUAAGUAAAAUAAACAAGGUGGGCAGGAGAA